GGUUAGUGGGUCUAAGUUACAGGUUACUGGAUCUAAGUAACAAAUUAAUAUGACUAAGUAACAGGUUAUUGGAACUACGUAACAAGUUACAUGAGUGAGAAAUGAGUUAUCACAUUGUUAAUCGAUUACUCUCUUUUGUUAAUCGGUUACUUGGUAUUAGAGUAACCGAUUACUCAGCGUAGUAAUUGAUUACUCAGUUGAACAUAAUGUUUGGGUAAUCGAUUACCUCUAUAUUGUAAUCAAUUACUGAGAACUGUUACACCAGAGUAACCGAUUACUCAAUAUGAUAAUUGAUUACUCAGUUGAACAAAAUGUUUGGGUAAUCGAUUACCUCUAUGCUGUAAUCGAUUACUGAGAGUUGUUACACCUGUUUUUCAGAUUCAAACUGAACAGCUUUCAUCCCAAACGAAAUGGUUUCAUUCUAAUCGAAUCGUACCAUUUCUUGGAGGUGUAUUUAAGCAUCUAAUUGUAAUAACAAUAAAUGUAGAAUAUUUAAGCAUCAUC